GACGUAGGGCGCGAGCGUUGUCCGGAUUUAUUGGGCGUAAAGAGCUCGUAGGCGGCUUGUCGCGUCGACUGUGAAAUCCCGCGGCUCAACUGCGGGUCUGCAGUCGAUACGGGCAGGCUAGAGUUCGGUAGGGGAGACUGGAAUUCCUGAUGUAGCGGUGAAAUGCGCAGAUAUCAGGAGGAACACCGGUGGCGAAGGCGGGUCUCUGGGCCGAUACUGACGCUGAGGAGCGAAAGCGUGGGGAGCGAACAGG
rnacentral:rRNA from 1 species